GCCCCGGACCAAGGCGCCCGCCGGAGGACCAAAAAAAACUCUUUUUGUAUACCCCCUCGCGGGUUUUUUAUAAUCUGAGCCUUCUCGGCGCCUCUCGUAGGCGUUUCGAAAAUGAAUCAAAACUUUCAACAACGGAUCUCUUGGUUCUGGCAUCGAUGAAGAACGCAGCGAAAUGCGAUAAGUAAUGUGAAUUGCAGAAUUCAGUGAAUCAUCGAAUCUUUGAACGCACAUUGCGCCCGCCAGUAUUCUGGCGGGCAUGCCUGUCCGAGCGUCAUUUCAACCCUCGAACCCCUCCGGGGGGUCGGCGUUGGGGAUCGGCCCUGCCUCUUGGCGGUGGCCGUCUCCGAAAUACAGUGGCGGUCUCGCCGCAGCCUCUCCUGCGCAGUAGUUUGCACACUCGCAUCGGGAGCGCGGCGCGUCCACAGCCGUUAAACACCCAACUUCUGAAAUGUUGACCUCGGAUCAGGUAGGAAUACCCGCUGAACUUAAGCAUAUCAAUAAGCGGAGGA
rnacentral:rRNA from 1 species